rnacentral:rRNA from 1 species
UACGAGAGGCCCAAACGUUGUUCGGAAUCACUGGGCGUAAAGCGCACGUAGGCGGACUUUCAAGUCAGGGGUGAAAUCCCGGGGCUCAACCUCGGAAUUGCCUUUGAUACUGUAGGUCUCGAGUCCGGAAGAGGUGGGUGGAAUUCCUAGUGUAGAGGUGAAAUUCGUAGAUAUUAGGAAGAACACCAGUGGCGAAGGCGGCUCACUGGCCCGAUACUGACGCUGCGGCACGAAAGCGUGGGGAGCAAACAGG